rnacentral:rRNA from 1 species
CCGUAACUAUAACGGUCCUAAGGUAGCGAAAUUCCUUGUCGGGUAAGUUCCGACCUGCACGAAUGGCGUAAUGAUGGCCAGGCUGUCUCCACCCGAGACUCAGUGAAAUUGAACUCGCUGUGAAGAUGCAGUGUACCCGCGGCAAGACGGAAAGACCCCGUGAACCUUUACUAUAGCUUGACACUGAACAUUGAGCCUUGAUGUGUAGGAUAGGUGGGAGGCUUUGAAGUGUGGACGCCAGUCUGCAUGGAGCCGGCCUUGAAAUACCACCCUUUAAUGUUUGAUGUUCUAACGUUGGCCCCUGAUCGGGGUUGCGGACAGUGUCUGGUGGGUAGUUUGACUGGGGCGGUCUCCUCCUAAAGAGUAACGGAGGAGCACGAAGGUUGGCUAAUCCUGGUCGGACAUCAGGAGGUUAGUGCAAUGGCAUAAGCCAGCUUGACUGCGAGCGUGACGGCGCGAGCAGGUGCGAAAGCAGGUCAUAGUGAUCCGGUGGUUCUGAAUGGAAGGGCCAUCGCUCAACGGAUAAAAGGUACUCCGGGGAUAACAGGCUGAUACCGCCCAAGAGUUCAUAUCGACGGCGGUGUUUGGCACCUCGAUGUCGGCUCAUCACAUCCUGGGGCUGAAGUAGGUCCCAAGGGUAUGGCUGUUCGCCAUUUAAAGUGGUACGCGAGCUGGGUUUAGAACGUCGUGAGACAGUUCGGUCCCUAUCUGCCGUGGGCGCUGGAGAACUGAGGGGGGCUGCUCCUAGUACGAGAGGACCGGAGUGGACGCAUCACUGGUGUUCGGGUUGUCAUGCCAAUGGCACUGCCCGGUAGCUAAAUGCGGAAGAGAUAAGUGCUGAAAGCAUCUAAGCACGAAACUUGCCCCGAGAUGAGUUCUCCCUGAGACUUAGAGUCUCCUGAAGGAACGUUGAAGACGACGACGUUGAUAGGCCGGGUGUGUAAGCGCAGCGAUGCGUUGAGCUAACCGGUACUAAUGAACCGUGAGGCUUAACCUU